UACGUAGGGUGCGAGCGUUAAUCGGAAUUACUGGGCGUAAAGCGUGCGCAGGCGGUUUUGUAAGCCAGAUGUGAAAUCCCCGGGCUCAACCUGGGAACUGCAUUUGUGACUGCAUAGCUAGAGUACGGUAGAGGGGGAUGGAAUUCCGCGUGUAGCAGUGAAAUGCGUAGAUAUGCGGAGGAACACCGAUGGCGAAGGCAAUCCCCCUGGACCUGUACUGACGCUCAUGCACGAAAGCGUGGGGAGCAAACAGG
rnacentral:rRNA from 1 species